rnacentral:lncRNA from 1 species
CAAGAAGAAGUCUUUAGUUCUGAAGAUUCGGGGAUGUCCGAUGGAUCAACCGGAGACGAGUCAGACUAAAGAGGAACACGAGGUUCACCACAUCCAGAAGGAGGAUCAGAAUGGAUUCACUAGCCAUUUUCUGAUUCCACAGGAAGAAGUGGUGAAAAAGCUCGUAAAGAAACUCAACAGGGAAACUGGAGAGGUACAAACAUACCAAGGGUUUUCCAAUGGGAGAUUGAAUCGAGUUUUUAAUAGCUUGAUUCCAUCCAAGAGGAAGCAUCAUGUCUAUUUUGGUGUCACCAACCGAGAAAUGGCGCUUCCGAUGGAAAUUACAAGUAAUCAGGUGGAGAUCCAGCUGGUUCCUGCUGAAGAUAUU